CUUCUUUUGGGGGAAAAAAUGGGAUUUUGGGGAUUUAUUGGGAAAUUUGGAUAAAAAAAUGGGAUUUGGGGGAUUUAUUGGGAAAUUUGGGGGAAAUUUGGGGAUUUAUUGGGAAAUUUGGGGGAAUUUGGGGAUUUUUUGCAAAAUUUUCGGGAUUUGUGGCAAAAAAAUGGGAUUUUGGGGGGAAAUUUGGGGAUUAUUGGGAAACUUUGGGGAUUUAUUGGGAAAUUUGGGGGAAAUUUUGGGGAUUUAUUGGGAAAUUUGGGGGAAAUUUGGGGAUGUAUUGGGAAUUUUGGGGGGAAAAAUGGGAUUUUGGGGGAUUUAUUGGGAAUUUUGGGAUUUAUUGGGAAAUUUUGGGAAUUUAUUGGGAAUUUUUCAGGAUUUGGGGAAAAAAAUGGGAUUUUGGGGGGAAUUUUGGAGAUUAUUGGGAAAAUUGGGGAUUUAUUGGGAAAUUUGGGGGAAAUUUCGGGUUUUAUUGGGAAGUUUGGGGGGAAAUUUGCGUUUUGAGGGGGGAAAUUUCAGGGUUUUGGGGGGAAAAUUUGGGGAUUUUGGGAGGGAAUUUGGGGAUUUUACCCUCCCCAAAUCCAAAUUUUUCCCUUCUGGGCCUCACCCUGACGCUCUUCCCCCGCUUUUUUCCCUCAUCUUUCUUCACUUUUCCCUCAUUUUCCUCAUUUUUACCUCAUUUCACCUCAUAUUUCUCUCAUUUUCCUCUCAUAUUUCCCUAAUUUUCCCCAUUUUUCCCUCAUUUUCCCAAUUUUCCCCUCAUUUCACCUCACAUUUCCCUCAUUUCACCUCAUAUUUCCCCAUUUUCCCCUCAUUUUCCCCCCAUUUUCCCCUCAUUUCAACUCACAUUUCCCACAUUCCCCCUCACAUUCCCCCAUUUUUCUCACUUUCCCCAUUUUCCCUUCAUUUUUCCCCAUUUUCACCUCAUAUUUCCCCAUUUUCCCUCAUUUUCCCCUCAUUUCCCCUCACAUUUCCCUCACAUUUCUCUCAUUUCACCUCAUAUUUCUCCAUUUUUCCCUCACUUUCCCGCUCCUCCCCUCAGCCAAGGCCUCCCGCCUCUCGCUGCCGCUGCCGCCUCUGGCCCUGCGGCCUCUCCCGCUGCGCUGGGGCGCGCCCGAAACCUCUCGGGGGGAUCCGGACGAGGACGACGAGGACGAGGAGGACGAGGAAGAAGCGGCGGGACCCGAGGAGGCCUCGGCGGAGCCCGUCCCGCUCGUGGUUUCGCGCUGGGACGGCCGCGGCCUCCGCGGCCUCCUGAAACCUCCGCGCCGCCCGCCGGAAGUUGGACUGAGCUCCAACCGGAAGCGAAAAGCGGUAUCCUUCUUCGAUGACGUCACAGUCCACCUAUUCGAUCAGGUGAUUGGUCCGGCGGUUUGAUUGACGGCUCCGCUGGCCAAUCGGAAGCUGAGAGCCGCCAUUUUGUUUGCAGGAGACGCCGACCAACGAGUUGAGCGGGCAGAGCGGCCCCGAGGAGCCCGCGGCGAUGGCGCCCCCCGAUGGCUUGGGUGGGUUUGGCGGGAAUUUGGGAAAAAUUGGGAAUUUUGGGGAAAACUUGAGGAGAAAUUUGGGAUUUGAGGGAAAACUUGAGGAGAAAUUUGGGAUUUGAAAGAAAUUUGAGGAGAAAUUCGGGGAUUUGAGGGGUUUUUUGGGGGUCCUGGUGUGGUAAAGUUGGGAAUUUUGGGGAAGGCCUGGGGGGUAAAUUUGGGAAUUUGAGGGAAAACUUGAGGAGAAAUUUGGGAUUUUAUGGAAAUUUAAGGAAAAAUUUGGGAUUUUAUGGAAAUUUGAGGAGAAAUUUGGGAUUUGGGGGAAAACUUGAGGAGAAAUUUGGGAUUUUUUGGAAAACUUGAGAAGAAAUUUGGGAUUUUGAGGGAAAACUUGAGGAGAAAAUUGGGAUUUUAUGGAAAAUUUAAGGAAAAAUUUGGGGAUUUGAGGAGAAAUUUUGGAAUUUGGGGGAAAACUUGAGGAGAAAUUUGGGAAUUUGGGAGACUCCGGGAUUUGGGGAGAUUUUGGGGUGAAUUUAAAGGGAAUUUGGAGGGAAAAUCCGAGGAAAAAUUGCGAACUUGGGGGGAGAAAUUUGGGAAUUUUUGGGGGAGGGAAUUUCGGGAUCCUGAGGGGAAAAUUUGGGGAAGAAAAACUCGAGGACAAAAAAAUCAGGAAUUUUUUUUCGGGAUUUUCCUUCCGCAGCCGCCGUCGAGAACUGACCCCGGGGGAGGGGGAGGGGCGGGGCCGAAGCCCCUCCCCCUUUCCCUUGGCCCCGCCCUCUUUCCCUGGCCCCGCCCCCACUUUGGGGGUGGGGGAGGGGCGGAAAUUUGGGGGGGGGAGGGGCAAUAAAGAAUUCCAGGCUUCCUGGAUUUUACUGGGA
ensembl:lncRNA